rnacentral:rRNA from 6 species
CAAACGACUCUCGGCAACGGAUAUCUCGGCUCACGCAUCGAUGAAGAACGUAGCAAAAUGCGAUACUUGGUGUGAAUUGCAGAAUCCCGUGAACCAUCGAGUUUUUGAACGCAAGUUGCGCCCGAAGCCUUUCGGCUGAGGGCACGUCUGCCUGGGCGUCACAC